rnacentral:lncRNA from 1 species
UUUAACCGGACAAUGGAUAGCACAACAUCCAUAAAUGAUCAUCUCCUCAUCAACAACCUCGUUCUAAACCCGUCAUACCCUGUGGAAGUAAUCUCAAGGUCCAGAAUGGCGGUGAAUACUAGGAACACAAUUGGUGUCGUUCUCCUCCUGGUCGUGAUGGUAGAAGCGGUAUCAACACCAGUGGCAACUGCCGAAGAGUUCUGUUGGGACAAA